UACACUUAUACACACUUAUCGUAGACACAGAAGUGAAUAAUCUUUGCCCUUUUAUAGAAAAUCUUUGCUUCUUUUCCCUCCAGUGCUGACAGCAUACUGUCACUAUUUGACCACAAACUGACAUGGUAUCUCCCUUUUACAUGACCUAUUGAUGGAUUUUUUACACUUGAAAUUAGCCCAAAGCUUCUUGGAACCUUGUGAAUAGACAUACCUAUUUUUCUUUUAUUUUUUUUACUUUGUAUUUGUCCUAUAUUGCUUGAUCUGGGACCCAUCGGUGAAUCACUACUACCUGUGUACUUGGAGUCCUGCAAUCUGCACAGGCACACAGUUAGUACAUGGGUGCACAUGGGCUACUUCAGUAAGGAAUCAUGUGGAAAUAGAAUUAAAAGCUCUUGAAGGUCAGUGACUCUGAAGCUGCUGAAAGAUUAAAAUUAAGAAGAUUGCUUUUCCUAAAUUGAUCUUUUAUGUGUUUAGAUAACUUCCUAAAUUGGUACCCUUAUGCAGGAGGACAAAUUAGGGAGCUGUUUAGCAGAUAGCUCCCUUAUUUAGCUGGGUGUUCCCAAAUUAAUUCAUAGACAUGAGUCACCAGUUUUCUGAAUUGGGAGGCACGCAGUUCACCC